UUGAAAGGGAAACGAUUGAAGUCAGUCGUACCGACGGGAAAUCAACUUUUCGAGCGUGAUCUUGUGGGCGCGUGAGAGUUUAAACCUCUGCGUUUUCAAGUUUGUGUUCUUUUGGCGUACUUUCUCGUAUGGUAGGUUAACAUCAAUUUUGGCUGUCGUAAAAUGAUCGGAGGAAUGUGGCUUCGAUUUAUCGAAAUGUUAUAGACUCUGGUAGAUGCGGUUGCCGGGAUUGAGGACUGCAACGAAUACCUUCGGGCUAUCCGCCUGACCUCUAAUCGUUGCCUUGUUGCCGAAAGCUUGCUUACGGUUUUCGAGGUUGAUGGUUAAAAGGUUAGAACGUGAUUAAAUUCCUUAAGGAUGUGACGUAAAUCGAA
rnacentral:rRNA from 1 species